AUGACCCUCAACUUGUCAGAUAAUCACUUAGUUGGUCGCAUCUCUUCUGAUAUAGGCCACCUGAAGGACUUGGUUGCAUUAGAUUUGUCUAAUAAUAGUCUUUCUGGCACUAUCCCAAGCAAUUUAGGGAAUUUGACAAAAGUCACCAUGUUGUACCUAAGCAAUAACCAACUUUCCGGAUCCAUUCCUCAAGAAUUUGGCAAUUUAAUAAGUCUAGUUCAGUUGGAGCUCACUUAUAACAACCUCUCGGGUCAAAUUCCACGAGAAUUAGGUUACCCUAUGGAAUUAGAGUACCUGAAUCUUGGUACAAACAAACUCUCCGGUUCUAUCCCAAACAAUCUAGGGAAUUUGAAAAAACUCACUUCCUUGUACCUUAGCGAUAACCAACUUUCCGGAUAUGUUCCUCAAGGAAUUGGCAAGUUAAUGAAUCUAUUUAUGUUGGAACUUUCUUUCAACAACCUCUCUGGUGCCCUGCCAUCUGGUCUGUGUGCGGGAGGUCAGCUACAACAUUUGACCGCUGUCAACAACAAAUUGGUUGGGCCCUUACCAUCAAGUUUGCUAAGUUGUACAAGCCUAGUGUGGGUUCGACUUGAGCGGAAUAACCUCGAAGGAGAUAUCACUAGGAUGGGGCCUUAUCCAAAUCUUGUCUAUAUUGAUAUCAGUUCAAAUAAACUGUUUGGAAAAUUAUCUCAUCGUUGGGGUGAGUGCUACAAACUUACCAUGCUACGUGCCUCAAACAACAACAUAAGUGGAGUAAUACCAUCAAGCAUAUGGAAAUUAUCUCAAUUGGGAAUACUUGAUGUUUCAUCAAACAAGCUUGAAGGACAUAUUCCACUAGAAAUUGGCAAUGUUACGAUGUUGUUCAAUUUGAGCAUUUCUGGUAACAUGCUCCGCGGAAAUAUGCCACAAGAAAUUGGAUUGCUCAAGAAUUUGGAGUAUCUAGAUUUAUCAUCAAACAACCUAACUGGACAGAUACCAGGAUCAAUUGGGCAUUGUUUGAAGCUUCACUUUCUGCAGUUGAGUCAUAAUCACCUCAAUGGUACCAUUCCUAUUGAACUAGGAAAGUUGGUAAACCUACAAGAUCUGUUGGACCUAAGUGACAAUUCAAUUGAUGGCGCUAUUCCAAGUUCGUUAGGUGGUCUUAGUUUGCUUGAAGCCUUGAAUCUUUCUCACAAUGAACUGAAUGGCAGCAUUCCAACAUCAUUUCAAAGCAUGAGUGGUAUCCAAUCGAUGGAUGUGUCAUGCAACGAACUAGAGGGGUCAGUGCCGCAUAGUAGGCUCUUUGAAGAAGCUCCAAUCAAAUGGUUCGUGCAUAAUAAUAAAUUGUGUGGUGUUGUUAAAGGUUUGCCCCCAUGUGAUCUUCCUCCAAGUAGUAAACAAGGAAAAAGGUCUAGAUCUAUAUUACUAGCUAUUGUACCUGUUGUUGUAUCUUUUGUAUUUGUUACUUCACUAAUAACAUGGCAAUGCAAAAAGAAGAAACCCAAGGCAGUAACUGCAAAUGAAGUACAACAAAACAAGAUAUUCGCCAUCUGGAACUUCAAUGGGGAGGAUGUGUACAAGAAAAUUGUUGAUGCCACAAACAAUUACAAUAAUGUUCAUUGCAUUGGAACUGGUGGAAAUGGAUCUGUCUAUAAAGCUCAGUUACCAACAGGAGAAAUAUUUGCAGUUAAGAAGAUCCAUAUGGGUGAAGAUGACGAUCAACUUAACCGUGAAAUACAUGCAUUGAUCCAUAUUCGACAUCGCAACAUCGCAAAAUUAUUUGGUUACUGCUCUGCAACCCAAGGAAGAUUUCUUGUUUAUGAGUACAUGGAAAGAGGAAGCUUAGCAACAUUAUUGAAGGGCAGGGAAAGUGCGGUUGAAUUGGAUUGGACAAGGAGGUUAAAUAUUUUUUGGGAUGUUGCUCAUGCUUUGUCUUACAUGCAUCACGAUUGCUUCACGUCGAUAGUCCAUAGAGAUGUAACAAGCAACAAUAUUUUGCUUGACCUGGAAUUUAAAGCAUGCAUCUCGGAUUUUGGUCUAGCUAAAAUACUAGAUGUGGAUGAAUCGAACUGCACAAGUCUUGCUGGGACAAAAGGAUAUCUUGCCCCAGAGCUUGCAUACACAACAAGGGUGACAGAGAAGUGUGAUGUGUAUAGCUUUGGAGUGCUGGUUCUAGAGGUAUUCAUGGGACACCAUCCAGGUGAUUUCCUUUCAUCCAUGGAUAACAACAACAUGAGUGCAUUGCUUGAGGACUUGCUAGACACACGGCUCCCACGCCCUGAAGCUGAUAUUGCAAGUGAAAUAUUUCAAGUGGUCACCAUCGCCAUUCGGUGCAUAGAGCCUGAUCCAUCGCAUCGUCCAACGAUGCAGCAAGUGAUCAAGGUGUUCUCAACAGCUGAACGAUCACCUGCUGAUAAUCUUGAUUAUCUUCACACUGCCAUUGUCAUCCCCGCCUGCUGGGCGUGA
rnacentral:rRNA from 1 species